rnacentral:tRNA from 1 species
GCCAGUGUAGUGUAGUGGUUUGAGCAUUGGACUAUGACUCUGGAGAACAGGGUGCAAAUCCCUGUUUGGCC